GACGUAGGUGGCGAACGUUAUCCGGAAUUAUUGGGCGUAAAGGGUGCGUAGGCGGCAUGAUAAGUUAUUGGCGGCAAAUCGAGGCUCAAACCUCGUGGAAACUGAUAAUACUGUCUUGCUUGAGUGCAGAAGAGGUUAACGGAAUCCAUGUGGAGCGGUAAAAAUGUGUAGAUAUAUGGAAAGAACAUCAAUAACGGCGAA
rnacentral:rRNA from 1 species